GUUCCUGGAUGAUCCCGGCCACAAACAGCGGAUGUCUCAGCUCUGGACAGAAUGGGAUCAGCACGUCUUCCUCCCAAAACCAAAACGAUGCCUUUCUCCAAAUGCCUGCUGUGACCUUCGAUCUGGGAAACGAGUGGGAGGACUUUGAGGAUGAGAAGCUGCUGCGAGGCAGCCAGGAUCCCAGAGCUGAAGCUCAGUGGCUGCAGACUGAACCGAGUGUCUCAGGCUGUGCAGCUGCAUCAGCACCAGCGUUCUCCAGCCGCUCAUCUGCUAACCGUUGUGUACCUCCAGCUGCUCCACAAAGUUUAAGUCUAGCAGCUGUAAAUCCUGGAGUCAGGAGACUUGGAUCUUCUCACUGGAGCCAGAGCUUCCCGGAUCCCAGGAGAAUCACGCUUGACGUCAACACAAAGGUGCUCAUAUCUGAUUGUCCAGUUGUUUGUGUGGCUGCUUGUUGA
rnacentral:lncRNA from 1 species